UCCGAGUUGACCCCGGCAGUCUCGUCAGAGUGCCCAACUUAAUGCUGGCAACAGACGAUAGGGGUUGCGCUCGUUGCGAGACUUAACCCAACAUUUCACAACACGAGCUGACGACAGCCAUGCAGCACCUCUCACUACAUUUCCUUGCGGACACUCCGGCCAUUACGCCGGAUUCGUAGGAGUUCAAGCCUAGGUAAGGUUCUGCGCGUUGCUUCGAAUUAAACCACAUAAUCCACCGCUUGUGCGGGCCCCCGUCAAUUUGUUUGAGUUUUUGUCUUGCGACCGUACUCCCCAGGCGGAAUACUUAAUGCGUUAGCUGCGUCACUGAGGGAGUCAAUACCCCCAAUAACUAGUAUUCAUCGUUUAGGGCGUGGACUAC
rnacentral:misc_RNA from 1 species